AGGUUCCGUAGUGAAAUACCAUAUUGAAUUGCAAAUUCAAAGAAGCAGCUUCAAUUCUGCCGGGACUU
rnacentral:tRNA from 1 species